rnacentral:rRNA from 1 species
GUGUCAGCAGCCGCGGUAAUACGUAGGUGGCAAGCGUUGUCCGGAUUUACUGGGCGUAAAGGAUGUGUAGGCGGAUAUUUAAGUGAGAUGUGAAAUCCCCGGGCUUAACUUGGGGGCUGCAUUUCAAACUGGAUGUCUAGAGUGCAGGAGAGGAAAGCAGAAUUCCUAGUGUAGCGGGUAAAUGCGUAGAGAUUAAGAAGAAAACCAGUGGCGAAGUCGGCUUUCGG